AAGGAGUCUAACAUGUAUGCGAGUAGGCGGGUGUAAAACCUUGCUGCGCAAUGAAAGUAAUUGAUGGGAUCCGCAAGGUGCACCAUCGACCGAUCUUGAGAUAUUAACGAAGGAUUUGAGUUAGAGCAUAAAUGUUAGGACCCGAAAGAUGGUGAACUAUGCCUGAGUAGGGCGAAGCCAGGGGAAACUCUGGUGGAGGCUCGAAGCGAUUCUGACGUGCAAAUCGAUCGUCAAAUUUGGGUAUAGGGGCGAAAGACUAAUCGAACCAUCUAGUAGCUGGUUCCCUC
rnacentral:misc_RNA from 1 species